GCCAGGUGUGGUGGCGGGCGCCUGUAGUCCCAGCUAGUUGGGAGGCUGAGGCAGGAGAAUUGCUUGAGCCCGGGAGGCGGAGGUUGCAGUGAGCCAAGAUCGCGCCACUGCACUCCAGCCUGGGCAACAGAGCGAGACUCUGUCUCAA
rnacentral:SRP_RNA from 2 species